rnacentral:rRNA from 1 species
AGAGUUUGAUCCUGGCUCAGGACGAACGCUGGCGGCGUGCUUAACACAUGCAAGUCGAACGCGAUCCAUGGUGUAGCAAUACACCGGAAGAUCUAGUGGCGAACGGGUGAGGAACACGUGAAGAACCUGCCCCGAACUCUGGGAUAACAGUUGGAAACGACUGCUAAUACCGGAUGCCGUUGUUGGAGUCACAUGGCUCUACAACGAAAGUUUUUCGGUUCGGGAGGGCUUCGCGGCCUAUCAGCUUGUUGGUGAGGUAACGGCUCACCAAGGCAUCGACGGGUAGCUGGUCUGAGAGGAUGAUCAGCCACACUGGGACUGAGACACGGCCCAGACUCCUACGGGAGGCAGCAGUGGGGAAUCUUGCGCAAUGGGCGAAAGCCUGACGCAGCAACGCCGCGUGCGGGAAGAAGGCUUUAGGGUUGUAAACCGCUUUCAGCAGGGAAGAAAAUGACGGUACCUGCAGAAGAAGGUGCGGCCAACUACGUGCCAGCAGCCGCGGUGACACGUAGGCACCAAGCGUUGUCCGGAUUUAUUGGGCGUAAAGAGCUCGUAGGCGGUUCAGUAAGUCGGGUGUGAAAACUCUGGGCUUAACCCAGAGCCGCCACCCGAUACUGCUGUGACUUGAGUCCGGUAGGGGAGCGGGGAAUUCCUGGUGUAGCGGUGAAAUGCGCAGAUAUCAGGAGGAACACCGGUGGCGAAGGCGCCGCUCUGGGCCGAGACUGACGCUGAGGAGCGAAAGCAUGGGUAGCAAACAGGAUUAGAUACCCUGGUAGUCCAUGCCGUAAACGUUGGGCACU